CAAUAGCGUAUAUUAAAGUUGUUGCGGUUAAAAGCUCGUAGUUGGAGUUCUGCCAGGUGCCGCCUGUCCGCCCCAGUGGUGAGUACGUGGCGCGCAUUUGGCCCUUUCAAGGGGAGCGUAUCUGCACUUUAUUGUGUGGUGCGGGAUCCUUGACUUUUACUUUGAGGAAAUAGGAGUGUUCCAAGCAGGCUCUCGUCGUGCACAGCUCAGCAUGGAAUAAUAGCAUUGGACCUCGAUUCUAAGCUGUUGGUUGCCAGAAGCGAGGUAAUGAUGAAGAGGGAUAGUUGGGGGCAUUCGUAUUUAACUGUCAGAGGUGAAAUUCUUGGACCUUCGGAGACUAACAACUGCGAAAGCAUUUGUCCAAGGAUGUUCUCUUUAAUUCAAGAACGAAAGUUAGGGGAGUCGAAGACGAUUAGAUACCA
rnacentral:rRNA from 1 species